CCUACGGGAGGCAGCAGUGAGGAAUAUUGGUCAAUGGACGAGAGUCUGAACCAGCCAAGUAGCGUGAAGGAUGACUGCCCUAUGGGUUGUAAACUUCUUUUAUAAAGGAAUAAAACGAGGCACGUGUGCCUUUUUGCAUGUACUUCAUGAAUAAGGAUCGGCUAAUUCCGUGCCAGCAGCCGCGGUAAUACGGAGGGUCCGAGCGUUAUCCGGAUUUAUUGGGUUUAAAGGGAGCGUAGAUGGGUGGUUAAGUCGGUUGUGAAAGGUUGCGGGUCAACCGUAAAAGUGCAGGGGGGGCUGGCGGGCGUGAGGGCGGUGGAGGUAGGCGGAAUUCGUGGUGUAGCGGUGAAAUGCUUAGAUAGCACGAAGAACCCCGAUUGCGAAGGCAGCUUACUAAACUGUGACUGACAUUGAUGCUCGAAAGUGUGGGUAUCAAACAGGAUUAGAUACCCCUGUAGUC
rnacentral:rRNA from 1 species